rnacentral:rRNA from 1 species
GCACAAGCGGUGGAGUAUGUGGUUUAAUUCGAUGCAACGCGAAGAACCUUACCUGGUCUUGACAUCCCGGAGACCCUUAGGAAACUAGGGGGUGCUUCCAUCUGGAAGAAUCUGGAGACAGGUGCUGCAUGGCUGUCGUCAGCUCGUGUCGUGAGAUGUUGGGUUAAGUCCCGCAACGAGCGCAACCCUUGCCUUUAGUUGCCAGCAGUUCGGCUGGGCACUCUAAAGGGACUGCCGGUGUUAAACCGGAGGAAGGUGGGGAUGACGUCAAGUCCUCAUGGCCUUUAUGACCAGGGCUACACACGUACUACAAUGGCCGAUACAAAGGGCAGCGACACUGCGAGGUGAAGCCAAUCCCGUAAAAUCGGUCUCAGUCCGGAUUGGAGUCUGCAACUCGACUCCAUGAAGUUGGAAUCGCUAGUAAUCGUGGAUCAGCCAAGCCGCGGUGAAUACGUUCCCGGGCCUU